rnacentral:rRNA from 1 species
GACGAACGCUGGCGGCGUGCCUAAUACAUGCAAGUCGAGCGAAGCGGCGGAUGGGUGAGUAAUGCGUGGGUAACCUGCCCUUAAGUCUGGGAUACCUUUUGGUAACAGAUGCUCAUACCGGAUACUAAUGGAUGGACCUGCGAUGCAUUAGCUAGUUGGUAAGGUAACGGCUUACCAAGGCGAUGAUGCAUAGCCGAGUUGAUGGGCUGAUCGGCCGCAUUGGGACUGAGACACGGCCCAAAAUCCUACGGGAGGCAGCAGUAGGGAAUCUUCCACAAUGGACGAAAGUCUGAUGGAGCAACGCCGCGUGAGUGAAGAAGGUUUUCGGAUCGUAAAGCGCUGUUGUUGGUGAAGCGGUAAUCAACCAGAAAGUAACGGCUAACUACGUGCCAGCAGCCGCGGUAAUUC